CCCUUAGAUGCUCUGGGCCGCACGCGCGCUACACUGGUCGAUGCAACGAGUUUCUUUCCUUGGCCGACAGGCCUGGGCAAUCUUUGAACAUCGAUCGUGAUCGGGAUAGAUUCUUGUAAUUUUUGAUCUUAAACGAGGAAUUCCUAGUAAACGCAAGUCAUCAGCUUGCAUUGAUUACGUCCCUGCCCUUUGUACACACCGCCCGUCGCUACUACCGAUUGGAUGGUUUAGCGAGAACUUUGGACCGGAGCUCGGGUGGUCAGCAAUGGCCGCCCGAGACAUACUGGGAAAUCGCUCCAGCUUGAUCAUCUAGAGGAAGUAAAAGUCGUAACA
rnacentral:rRNA from 1 species